AAAGGAAUUGACGGGGGCCCGCACAAGCGGUGGAGCAUGUGGUUUAAUUCGAUGAUACGCGAGGAACCUUACCAGGGUUUAAAUGGGAUUUGAAUAAUUUGGAAACAAAUUAGCCGCAAGGCAAAUUUCAAGGUGCUGCAUGGUUGUCGUCAGCUCGUGCCGUGAGGUGUUAGGUUAAGUCCUGCAACGAGCGCAACCCCCAUGAUCCGUUACUAACAGGUAAAGCUGAGGACUCAGAUCAGACUGCCAGCGUAAGCUGCGAGGAAGGAGGGGAUGACGUCAAAUCAUCACGGCCCUUACACCCUGGGCCACACACGUGCUACAAUGGCCGGUACAGAGAGCAGCCACUCCGCGAGGAGGAGCGAAUCUAUAAAACCGGUCACAGUUCGGAUCGUAGUCUGCAACUCGACUACGUGAAGCUGGAAUCGCUAGUAAUCGCGCAUCAGCCAUGGCGCGGUGAAUACGUUCCCGGGCCUUGUACACACCGCCCGU
rnacentral:rRNA from 1 species